rfam:Ovis aries breed Texel chromosome 9, whole genome shotgun sequence.
CCUUCGAUAGCUCAGUUGGUAGAGCGGAGGACUGUAGUUGAUGUAUUAACUGAGAGACAUCCUUAGGUCGCUGGUUCGACUCCGGCUCGAAGGA